rnacentral:misc_RNA from 1 species
CGGCAUCAGCAACGGCAGCGGUAGUGGCAGCGGAGUUGGUCGAAUUUCCUAUAUAUAUUAUUGAUAAAUAGCUCGCGUCGUUGCUCGUGUGACUCUCCGCGACGGCUAGAACGGCCGACUUCGCGUUGUGCGUGGAUGUGCGUGACCUCGUUGUCGGGAGAGAGGCGUUUUCGCGCAGGAGCGUUCGAGAGUGCUCUCCUCGUGAGGAAGAAAGAAAAGUGCGGUGGUGUUUCGUGAACGAGCGACUACACGUACGACGUACCGUGACGACAGUUACGUGAAAAGAGAGAGAGAGAGAGAGAGAGAGUGAGAGGGGGGGAAGGAGAGGGCUAGAGAGACGGAGGGAGAGAACGCGCGCGCGUCGCUUCGCAAACGGAGAUCGGUGGUGGACGAGAGCAGCCGAGCGCGGACGACGGGAUUAUCGUACGUUGGGUGUGACGGGACGUGUCGCGGUUCGGCGUGGACGAUCCGGACCGGCGAACCGCACGGAUAGUGUUGUGGUACGCGAGUCCCACGAAAGGGCAGGCCCAGGCAGCGUUCCUCGCGAAAGCCUGCGGCGCUAUCCCACGAGAGAGCAUGCCGAGCCCGGCCACGAAGAGGACACACAGGAGAAAAGCGGUAUACGGGACGCGGUACACCAGAUAACUCUGAUCUAGACGGAAAUAUUUUAAUAGGAUCGCUGUUGUUUACGUCAUCUUCAUUAGCCAGCGGUGAAAGAUUGCUUUUGUGAAGUAUUGUUGUUAUUACAAAGUUCGAUUCUGGAAAAUAAUCAUCCUGAGCAACGCCAUUGUGACAAUUGCAAGCGAAUCAUCAUCAGUGAUACCGGAAUGUUUUCAUUUAUAUUGCGGGAGAAUACAGAAUACAUUUAAACGAGACGUCAAGUAUGCAACGCUUCUUCAAACGUGGAAACGAGGAAAGCAGUAUCGUCUUGUGAUAAAUAAUGGGAGUAAAUGAUCGAUAACAUGAGAGAAACUGUGGAAACGACGUAAUUACCAUGGCCGGGCAAGGGAUGGCAGGCCAAUAAAUCAGACUGUGUACUAAAAGUAAAAAGGAAACAAGCGAGGACAAAGAAAGAGACAAGUCGAAUAGUGAAUUUAGGGUGGCGGACGGUAAGGGAGGCAGGACAGAGCCGUGUAGUAAUGGAUGAAUGGGAGUGAGCGCGGUGCACGGGGAGCGCAGGAGUGGCGGGCGCGCACGUUGUGGCACGUCGUGGGAGCCUCUGGAUGUGGAGGCCGCGGCUCUGGCAGCGUCAGUGGCAGUGAUGGCCCCUGCUCUGACGGAAGGCGGUCCUCAAAAGCCUGAAAACUUGCUCCCUACCCUACCAGCAGCCGCCAGCGGCUUUCUGUCCGCCGAGCAGGCCACAGAGGUGUGCCAGAACCGUGAGAUCUUGACCAAGUUCGUAGUGCCGGCGAACGUACAACCGUCGAAGAUCGACGAGCAGUGCUUGCGCGGUAUCUCGAAGGACCUCAUACGCGAUGUCAUUAAUUCCAAAUACGCUAACGAUCUCGACUCGUUAUCCGCGUUCGCGAACGCGUCCGACUUGAUCGGAUCGAGAAACGGUGCGGCAGUGUGUCUGCAACAGCAGGCGGAACAGGAAGACUUUGAGCGGCCGGUUACGCUGCCGGACGCCGGUCACGCCGUAGGGAAGGUGAUCGACAUUAUAAUGAGCGACCCAUCUAUGGGUGAUCAAACGAACAACAUGGGUUUCUUGAAAUCGAGCGUGGACUUGCCCCUAGCGGCUACUGAGACUGAAACGGGAGACAAUAAAAAUCUGGAUGUCGAUCAGAUCAUGGCCUUUGGCACUGAUAUCACCGCCGAGCAAUGCAACAUAGGAAAUGUCGCUGAUAUCGGGCAUAAUGUUGAUGAUAUCUUGCAGGUCAUUAAUUCGAUAGAAGGUGCGGAGAAUGCCGAGAACAUUUCCGCCGGUGGUGGCGAGCCGGUACAAAGUGCUGUCGAUGGCGUGGAGAUGUUUGCCAUGCCCGAAGAGGGAUUCGCAUCCUUCGAGCGGGAUUUACUUAAUGGCGUUGACGUAAUGAGUCUCUGCAAUGAGAAUAUGAAUAUAUCGGUGGAUACGGUGGACCAACAAAAGUCUAACAAUUUAAAAUUGCAACAAGACAUUGUGGCGCAAAAGCAAUUUGAAAGUGAGAGACGAUGCGCGUUUUUACUGAGAAGACUGAGAAAACUUCAAGGAAGAAUAGUUGGCAGACACGUGGCAGAGGAGAAUACCGGCGUUCUCGAAUUGGCCCAUCACGGAGUAAAGAAAUAUCUUCUGCAAGAACUGGUCAAUAUUGGUUCAAAAUCCAAUGUGAGAAAUUUUCCUGAGAUUAGCAGUAGUUUACAUUCGUUCUUACAAAAAAUUGAGAAAAUGUGCAUUGCCCAGAGUAACAGUAUGAAUCGUCAGAGAGUGUGUUGUCGAUAUUUCGGUGGAGGGUCGCGUGAUAACGCGAGCGGCAGUACAUCCGGCAAUAAUGGCAAUCGUCAGCCGGUAUUCGGUACUCCUCAGGUUAAACUAAACGGUGAAGAAGUGGAAAGUGUGUUUGGAGCUCUGUCCACACAGUUGCACAUUGUAGAAUCUAACUUGGAUUCGGAUUGUACAGCAUCCAGUAGUGGUGGAGAAAGUUGUGACGAAAUGCAGACAUUUAACAAUCCUCAUCAACAGAAUCUACUCAUAUCCAAAAGAGCAGCAUGGAGAUAUGCACAGGAUCGUGCAGGUGUAGCAUCACGGUGGACCUGGCUACAGGCACAAAUAUCAGAUUUAGAAUACAGAAUUAGACAGCAUAAUGAUCUGCAACGGCAGAUUAGGGCCGCGAAAGGCCUGGUUGUUCUCGAAAAUGCGGAAACUGUUAACGGAUACAGUGGCGCUCUACCAGGUUCUACUGGACGAUACAAUUCGCCCGAGGGUGAAUUACCAGCUAGUAGAACGCGUCCAUUUGUAUGGAGUUAUUAUAGAAAGCGAAAGCUUUUGCAAGUGGAUAGGCUACAUGAAGUUUCAAAGCGUGCGGCUAAAGCGUCAACAGUGAGAUGCAAUUGUGAUCAUGUGUUGCCUGCGUGUGCUUUAUGUACAGGAAGGCUAGAUCCAAUGCAACCACAAGAACCAAUUGAACAACUUUCUGUACAAGAACGUGUAGCACUUGUUGAUCCUAGUUUUCAUCCAGUGUUGUCAUUCCCUGAUGAAAUUGUACAUGGAACCCAUUUAGAAGCUAUUAUGAAAUCAGUGGAAUGGCAGCAGAAAAUGUUGAGAGGCAAUUUGCGAGUUACCCGUGUGAAAGAUAAAGAUAGCAAUGAAAGAAGAAAUAAGAAACUUCCUAACAGAACAAAAUAUACCGCGCGAUUAAAGAAAUCAUCCUCGACUAUUCUUACAGCAAGAAUCAAGAGAAAAAUGUUGAAAAAUGGUAAGAGAAAUAGACUCGGCCAUUCGGAAAGAAGCGUAUCUGGAUUAAACAAGAAAAAAAUAUCAAAAUUACCAACUGAGGAUGACGACGACAUUAGCGCGCUUUCAAGUUCCAGCAAACACUCAUCCCCAGUGCCUUCUCCAUUGCAACAUGUUACUGCCUCUUCGGAGAAAAAUACUGUUAAAGAAAAAAGUUCCAAUCCACAUGGGCGUUUGCGACAGAACUCUUACGAUAUUAACAAUAUAGUCAUCCCCUAUAGUGUUGCUGCUUCAACGAGGCCUGAAAAAUUACAAUACAAAGAGAUUUUAACACCAAAAUGGAGAUUAUGUGAAGAGCCCUCGAAAAUGGAUGUGAAGAAUGGCGUAAUGCACAGGCCUGGUCAGGACAGUGAUAUUGAAGAUAUGUCGGAUGAAACAAUUGCCCUGAGGCAUGAACGUAGCGAACGCGAGGAAUAUAAACGUUUCAUGACAUAUCUUAGUAUGCCGCAUCAAACGCGUAUUCGUCACAAUCGUCGUAUCGACAGCAGAGCAGACAGUGGUGCGAACACACCAGAUCCAAUGUCACCGCACGCGAGUAGUGACUUUGGUGGAGACGUGGUAUCUCCGUUUACGUCUCCACCUGCCACUCCAUCUCAAGUGCAGGACACAGAACAGUCGUCGGGUUUGGAUUCGCAUCGACCGUCUGCUUUACAAAACUCUCUUCGACGUCGUACUAUGCCCGCUUUAAGACUGGGGAAGGAUGAUGCCGCGGUCGUAUUUACCGAAGAUGAAAAUGAGAUUUUACCGUAUGAACCAAGAAUAUUCCCAUUAUCUGAAGAAAUUUACGACAAAAUGUUGGAAGUGAUGCCGGAUGGACAUUGGCAAGCUUCGUCUACGUCUAUAUGUUCUCGCGACGAAGAUAAGGGUGAUGAUGUACGUACAUUGUACUUGUAUUGAUAUAUAUCUUCGCAUUAAAUAUCUAAGUCUGAAAAAUUUGAAUUAUAUAAAAUGUAUGUGGGUGCUAUAUAGUACUGACUAUUAAUAUACACUUUGAGCCAAUUUUCAUGGCUCCUCUCGAGGCUAUUUCCGGACAGAGAAAUGGAUUCUCCCGAAUCGGAUUCGACCGAAUCUGCUUGUUGCGACAUAGAUGGUGAGGAUCCCAAUGAUCCCGAGUGGACAGUAGGUGACGAUAGAGACACUGAAAAGGAGAGAAUACGUCCGA